rnacentral:piRNA from 2 species
UGACCUUGGGUUUACUGGACAUGCCUC